GUCAUCACUGAAUUCUGAUGGGCUACCUGGAACUGGCUUAGGGUGGGAUUACAUACGCCUCCUGCCACAUAGGAUUUCCUUCUAUUUGGUCAGGGGUAGCAUCAUCCAGUGAGUAAAUCUGUUAGUGAUCUCCCUCACAUAACCUAGGAAUUCUCUCAGGAUCCGUUUCUCCAGUAGUUUUGAGAAAGCGACCAACAACAGCAAAGAGAGUAGUUCUUCCAUUCCAAGAGCAGCCAUCUUGCUUAACUGACAAACUAGAGAGAACUGCAAGGACUCAGUACAUCCCUGGCACAAUCCAUUCUCUCUCACAGCAUAUUAUAUGAGGCUGUGUGAGCCCUGCUUCCACGGUAUGCUAAAAACCCAUGGUCCCUGCAUUAUUUGAGCAACUGACAAGCUUCUGAAGUUAAGAUUCACGAACGCUGAGAGCGGUACCCAGUGGAUUUGUGGCAGGGACAGGGUUUCACUAUGUUGUCCAGGCUUGUUUCAAACUCCUGGGCUCAAGCCAUCAGCCUGCCUCAACCUCCUAAAGUGCUGACAUUACAGGCAUGAGCCACUGUGCCCAGCCAGGAAAUGUUUCAAAUACUUGAGAUUGUUGAUUAACCAAGCUGGCUGGCGUUGCCUCAGUUCAUCUAAAUUACCAAGGACUGCUGGAAUUUUCAUGGGAAUAUGUUUCGGGAAAGGUCAGAAACACUUCAGUCGUCUUCACGCUUCCACUCAGUAGCAAUGUUUUUGCGCAUUCAUAGACUAUCAACUGGUUGUCUAUGACUCAAAUUACAUAAUGAAUCCAGCACAUAAAUUAUUUACUCAGAUUUAAUUCCAGCAACUGUUAUCUUUGUAUUUUUUUCCCCUCUGCCAGCUAAUCUGGCUCAUUUCAUUGGAAUUUUGGUCAUGCCCAUUCUCCUUCUGCACUAAAUUAUCUCCAUAACGUAGUAUAAACAGAACAAGCUUGUGUGUGAUACGCUUAACUGUUAAUUUACCUAAUUAAACUAAUUCAAUUAAAUCAUUUACAUCUUUUUGGUAACAUGCCAGGUGAUACCACAGCAGAAGUGGGAUGUUUCAGAAGAUGAUUGUUCAGCAAAUGAAUGGAAAAAAAAUAAAAGGAAAACAAAAUGAGAUAACCGUCCAAAUCUCUUGGCUUGAAAAUUAAAUGAUACUAAAAAAACACAGCUUUCACGGGGUACUGUGAUUAGAUAUUUUUCUUAAAUCAAUUUUCUCUAGAAAUUGGUAUUUUAACAGAGUGAUCACAAUUUAUUGUACAAAAUAUUUUAAACACUAUUUGUACAUUCACAUAUUUGGUAUGUUUAAGUAAUGUGUACUUGUUCCC
rnacentral:lncRNA from 1 species